CACCGGUGCCAGGUGAAUGGGCUGGGAUGGCAGAACCUGGCAUCGGGUGAGCGGGGUGGGCUCGGGAGUGAUGGGAUCUGGGGCCAGGUGAGCGGGGUGGGCUCGGGAAUGGCGGGGUCUGGGGCCAGGUGAGCAUUGGGGAUGCAGGAAUGGCAGCUCCGGUGCCAGGUGAAUGGGCUGGGAUGGCAGAACCUGGCAUCAGGUGAGCGGGGGGGGCUCGGGAGUGACGGGACCUGGGGUCAGGUGAGGGGGGUGAGCUCGGGAAUGAUGGGAUCAGGGGCCAGGAGAGAGGGGUGAGCUCGGGAAUGGCGGGAUCUGGGGUCAGGUGAGAGGGGUGGGAUGGUGGGACCUGGGGUCAGGUGAGGGUGGUGAGCUCGGGAAUGGCAGGAUCUGGGGUCAGGUGAGCAUUGGGGAUGCAGGAAUGGCGGCACCUGGCACCAGGUGAAUGGGCUGGGAUGGCGGGACCUGGAGCCAGGUGGGC